rnacentral:rRNA from 1 species
UACAGAGGUCUCAAGCGUUGUUCGGAUUCAUUGGGCGUAAAGGGCGCGUAGGCUGCGGGGCAAGUCGGGUGUGAAAUCUCGGAGCUUAACUCCGAAACUGCAUUCGAUACUGCCGUGCUUGAGGACUGGAGAGGAGACUGGAAUUUACGGUGUAGCGGUGAAAUGCGUAGAUAUCGUAAGGAAGACCAGUGGCGAAGGCGGGUCUCUGGACAGUUCCUGACGCUGAGGCACGAAGGUCAGGGGAGCAAACAGG